rnacentral:lncRNA from 1 species
UGCAGAGGGAGGAGUUCCCAAAGAGGAAACGGCGCAGGAACAGCAAAUGCAGAGAGGAUGCACACUCUGAAGAGGGCAGGCAGCUUCUGCACCGAGGGAGCAAAGGGGCGUGUCAGGGGCAGCUGCUGGAAGGAGGCGCAAGCACCACGGAGAGUCUGGGAUGCCCAGCCAAGGAGCCCUGGAAGGGUUGCCCUGGGGACUGACACUGUGGGCUCUGUGUUUUAGCCAAGUCACCCAGGCAGCUGAACAGAAGAUGGACUGGAGGGAGAAGCCUGGAUGUAGGAUCGCUCAGCAACAAAGGAGCCAGAAAAGGCAAGGUGUACACACCGUGUGCAGCAUGGGCGAGCUGCAGGCAUGCAGGUCACUAUCCUUAAUCCCUCUCCCUGUGGGGUCUUCCCUAUCUUGAGCCUGUGGACAGCUGUGCAGUGGCAAGAAAAAGGCCUUCAGAGCUACGCAGACCUGGCUUCAAAUCCCAGCCUCCCUGAUGAGCCCUGGUGGUCUUGCAUGCUUGCCCUUGGGACUCAGACACCAUAUUGUGAGGAAGCCCAAGCUACAUGCAGAGGCCACUAUAGUUGUUCUGGCCAACAGCCCAAGCUUCAGCUGCCAGACAUAUAAAUAAACCAACUCUUCAAAUGAUUUCAGUUUCCAGACUUCAGUGCAUCCCAGGUAAUGUCCAGAGGAGCAGAGAUGAACCAUCCUCUCUGAGCCCUGCCCAAAUGCAGACUUGAGAACAAACUAAAUGUCAUUGUCUCAAGCCACCAAUUUUCAGGGUGGCUUGGUACACAGCACCAGGUAACAGGAAUAGCCCCCCUCUUCCUCUGCAGCUCUCCCCAGGUACAGGCAAGCUCCCCAACCCAUGCUUCAUCCCCACCCCACAGACAGAACCUGGAGUCAGUCCUCCCACCCACAACUGUGCCUUCCAAACUAAGCUCAAAGCCCAGCUCUGUUGCUUUCAGAUGGGUGCCCUAGGGCAAGUCACCAACCCUAUAUGACAAAUCCCUCUGUGUCAAAUGGGAAUUAUAAUAGUGCCCCUGAGGAGUCUUGGAGAGAUUUAAUAAAGUGCCUGGAACAUAAUGAGUGCUCAUUAAGUGGACGCAGGGACAUGAGGCUUGGGAAAAAGGAAGGGGUCAAAGACGUCACCCCAGUCUCUGACUGGGAGGGAGAGAG